AUGUUCUCCAUCUCAUUGCAAUACAAUUUCCUCAUAAUCUAUCCUCAAAUCAAAUUCGAAAGAUAUCUGUUCUUCUCUUCUACGUACUCUAUCGUUAUGGCUUCGUCACUUCUGACAUCUCCCACAAUGAUCCCCACCACCGGUUCCACUGUGGUGGUCCGAUCAGGCUUACCUUUUAGAUCUUCCUUGCCCUCCCUACGCCUGAAUCGUCCGUACAACAAGUCAUCCUUGUCUAUCUCAUGUUGCUCCCCUGUGUCUAAAAUGGGGGGUACUAGUGCGGGUGACCUCAAACCCGUCUUGGAAAGGUGGCCAGAGUACAUACCGCACAAGCUUCCCGACAAGAAUUACGUGCGUGUAUUCGACACGACGCUCCGUGACGGCGAACAAGCUCCAGGUGGAGCUCUUACUCCACCGCAGAAGCUUGAGAUUGCUAGACAGCUCGCAAAACUCCGAGUAGACAUCAUGGAAGUUGGUUUUCCGGUGUCCUCUGAGGAAGAGUUCGAAACAGUCAAAACCAUCGCCAAGACCGUGGGAAAUGAGGUGGAUGAAGCAACAGGUUACGUCCCAGUGAUAUGCGCCAUCGCACGUAGCAAACCAGAAGACAUUGAGGCGGCCUGGGAGGCGGUGAAAUACGCGAAAAGACCUAAGAUACUAAUAUUCACAUCUACUAGUGACAUUCACAUGAAAUACAAGUUGAAAAAGACUAAAGAAGAAGUCAUCGAAAUGGCCGCGAGUAGUGUUAAGUUUGCUAAAAGCUUAGGCUUCGUUGACGUCCAACUUGGCUGCGAAGAUGGCGGCAGGUCGGAGAAGGAGUUUCUCUGCAAGAUUCUAGGAGAAUCGAUAAAAGCUGGUGCAACCACGGUGAACGUCGCGGACACUGUAGGAAUCAACAUGCCGGAAGAAUACGGAGAACUCGUGAGCUACCUCAAAGCAAACACUCCUGGCAUUGAUGAUGUUAUUUUCAGUGUUCAUUGUCACAACGACCUUGGUGUUGCCACCGCCAACACAAUUGCCGGUGUAUGUGCGGGAGCACGACAAGUCGAAGUAACAGUUAACGGAAUAGGCGAAAGAAGUGGGAAUGCACCGCUUGAAGAGGUAACAUGUCGUGAUGGCUUUGAAAUGCCGAGGAGAAUAUCUGAUGGAUGGUGUCUACACAAGAAUAGACACACGCCAAAUUAUGGCUACCAGCCAGAUGGUUCAAGAAUAUACCGGCUUGUUUGUUCAACCACAUAAGCCCAUAGUUGGAGCCAACUGUUUUGUUCAUGAGAGCGGCAUUCACCAGGAUGGAAUCUUGAAAAAUCGGAGUACAUAUGAGAUCUUAUCGCCAGAAGAUGUUGGGGUUGUAAAAUCUCAAGGUUCGAGCAUUGUUAUUGGAAAGCUUAGCGGACGUCAUGCUGUGAAAGAUCGGCUGAAAGAGUUGGGAUAUGAGCUCGAUGAUGAGAAAAUAUUGAACGAUAUCUUCUCAAUGUUCAGGGACUUAACCAAGCAGAAAAAGAGAAUCACGGAUGAUGAUCUGAAGGCGUUAGUAACGUGUCGUGAUGAGGUCACGUCUCUAAACGGCGCUACCGGUGAAGAGACUAACGGCUAUGUACCAAUCUCACAGAUUUCCUCUGUGGUAUCAAAUCUGUGAAAACGUUUUGUGUCUGUGUACCACUUGUAAUAUCAAGAUUCCAUUGAUAUGAAUGGGUUGUUUUAAAGAAUAAAAACAGUGUGAAGUUGAAAAA